CAUGGAUCCAGAAGCCCAAUGCUUUGCUAAAGCUGGUAAAAAGGAACCAAAUCACCUGUGCGAUGGAUUUGGUCCCCUUCAACCAGCUGUAGCUGUGCAUUAAUUGCGCCGGUGAGACUA
rnacentral:precursor_RNA from 12 species